GUCUAUGGCUGUACCACCCUGAACACGCUUGAUCUCAUCUGAUCUCGAAGCUAAGCAGGGUUGGCCCUGGUUACUACCUGUAAGGAGACCAACCAUAACUU
rnacentral:rRNA from 1 species